AGGACCAGAGUGGACGAACCUCUGGUGUACCGGUUGUGACGCCAGUCGCAUCGCCGGGUAGCUAUGUUCGGAAGGGAUAACCGCUGAAAGCAUCUAAGCGGGAAGCCUACCUCAAGAUAAGAUUUCCCUAGGACUUUAUGUCCUCUAAAGAGCCGUUCGAGACUAGGACGUUGAUAGGUUGGAUGUGGAAGCAUAGUGAUAUGUGAAGCUGACCAAUACUAAUUGCUCGUGAGGCUUGACUAU
rnacentral:rRNA from 1 species